rnacentral:rRNA from 1 species
GAUGAACGCUGGCGGCGUGCUUAACACAUGCAAGUCGAACGAAGCACUUUAACCUGAUUCUUCGGAUGAAGGUUUUUGUGACUGAGUGGCGGACGGGUGAGUAACGCGUGGGUAACCUGCCUCAUACAGGGGGAUAACAGUUAGAAAUGACUGCUAAUACCGCAUAAGACCACAGAGCCGCAUGGCUCGGUGGGAAAAACUCCGGUGGUAUGAGAUGGACCCGCGUCUGAUUAGGUAGUUGGUGGGGUAACGGCCUACCAAGCCAACGAUCAGUAGCCGACCUGAGAGGGUGACCGGCCACAUUGGGACUGAGACACGGCCCAAACUCCUACGGGAGGCAGCAGUGGGGAAUAUUGCACAAUGGGGGAAACCCUGAUGCAGCGACGCCGCGUGAGCGAAGAAGUAUUUCGGUAUGUAAAGCUCUAUCAGCAGGGAAGAAAAUGACGGUACCUGACGAAGAAGCACCGGCUAAAUACGUG